CCGAGCCGCACGUAGGGUGGGUGGGCGCGGCCUCGCCGGCGGCGCGGAGCCGGGCGGCGGGGGCUUCCCCUGCCCCGCGCUCCCCCGCGCACGUAGGGGCGAGCAGCUGUAGCGAGGCGGCUGGGGAGAGGAGCGCCGGCGUCGGAGAGCCCCCGCGGCCCGGGGGAGAACCUUUCAGAGUCAAUUACUAGCUAGGCCAUUCUGGGCAAAGAAAAUGCAAACUGACCCUAUCAGGAGAGCUGCAAGAAGCUUGCUGUGCAUGGAGGAAGGAAAUAAAGCACCUAGGAUAAGGAGCAGCGGAAGAGCGAGUUUGCCGAGGUGUGCUAACAAGCGAGGACCAAAUCAUGGCAGAUGGUGGAAGCUUAGAACACAUUUCUUCACAUUUAAUUUCCCCGUGACAACAGAUGUUCCUGCUCUAGUCAUGGAUAUCUUGGUCUGAGAAGCUUGAGACUCCUGACAUACAGACAGGCCUAAAGUACCUUUUAUCUUGAUGGAAAACUAAGGGUGGAGGUGAAGAAACAUCUGGAUUCUCUUUGUCCUCUUUUUUGGACCACAGAUUUCACUGACAAAGCAGAGUCCUGGAAACAGCCUUAUAAACUCCACGCAUUAUAGUUCAAGGAUAGGGAGGAACAAAGGUCUACAGUUGCUUUCACAAUAUGCAGAGGAGGAAGCAAGCACCUCUAAGUAAAUGCAUGUUACAUUGCUGACUGAAGCCUUACAUAUGAUAGCAGGAUAGUCUUCUCUGGCCUCUCUUCUGGUGGCAGUAGAAACACAGCAUGCAACUACGCUUCUCAGCUUCUCGAGGCUUACAAAGAACAUACUUCAGCAUGAUCUUCGCCUAACAGAAAUAAGCCCUUGAUGGACAUUUCUGAGAA